rnacentral:rRNA from 1 species
GUGUCAGCCGCCGCGGUAAUACAGAGGGGGCGAGCGUUAUUCGGAAUUAUUGGGCGUAAAGGGCGCGUAGGCGGCCUUGUAAGUCUUGGGUGAAAUCCCUCAGCUCAACUGAGGAACUGCCUCGGAUACUGCAGGGCUUGAGGCCGGGAGAGGGUAGUGGAAUUCCCAGUGUAGCGGUGAAAUGCGUAGAUAUUGGGAGGAACACCGGUGGCGAAGGCGGCUACCUGGACCGGUUCUGACGCUGAUGCGCGAAAGCGUGGGGAGCAAACAGGAUUAGAUACCCUUGUAGUCC